rnacentral:lncRNA from 1 species
ACCGGGGCCUUGGGGAGUAGACACUGCCAUCUUUUCCUGGGGGUCUGUGUUUCAAUCAAAGAGUCUCCUUGGAGACAGAAGCCCCAAGAAGCCACGGAGACUAGAGCCGCUGGAGGCUGUGGGUUCUGGGAGCUCAAGUGCAGCCCUGUGGAGAAAUUCAUCUAGCGCUGCUGUGAGCUUCCCCUAAAAAAGAGUUAACUGUGACCCCAGGAUCUCUAUGGUGGAUGCAUUGUCUUUGGACACCAGGCAGGCUCUCCUUCAGGGUUCUAUCUGGCAAAGGGACACGUGGAGAAUGGGACCAAGAGGAGGAGGCAUCCUGGACGUCACCAGGUGCCCCAUCCACGGCGAGGGAAGCCUGGACCCGGCUCUGCUGUCACUCAGAACAGGUCGGGGACUCUGGUGACCACGUCCCUGCCCGCUGCAUACUUGGAAAGCACUGCCUCUGCCAGAAGCCGAGGCGAGAAGGCUCCCAAAGCAGACACCGGACCCCCGAGUAGCUCUGGUCUCCACGGGCCACCCUGGGAGCUGUGGGGCGAGGCCCACCCGCGCGCCGUACCGCGCAUGCGUCAGUUGGCUGAGCAGGAGGCCGCCCGCGCAGCCUCGCUCCCGCCCGGUCGCCGUGGCAACGGGCUCGCGGGGGG